rnacentral:rRNA from 1 species
GAUGAACGCUGGCGGCGUGCCUAAUACAUGCAAGUCGAGCGAACAGACGAGGAGCUUGCUCCUCUAACGUUAGCGGCGGACGGGUGAGUAACACGUGGAUAACCUACCUAUAAGACUGGGAUAACUUCGGGAAACCGGAGCUAAUACCGGAUAAUAUAUUGAACCGCAUGGUUCAAUAGUGAAGGACGGUUUUGCUGUCACGUAUAGAUGGAUCCGCGCCGCAUUAGCUAGUUGGUAAGGUAACAGCUUACCAAGGCAACGAUGCGUAGCCGACCUGAGAGGGUGAUCGGCCACACUGGAACUGAGACACGGUCCAGACUCCUACGGGAGGCAGCAGUAGGGAAUCUUCCGCAAUGGGCGAAAGCCUGACGGAGCAACGCCGCGUGAGUGAUGAAGGUCUUCGGAUCGUAAAACUCUGUUAUUAGGGAAGAACAAAUGUGUAAGUAACUAUGCACGUCUUGACGGUACCUAAUCAGAAAGCCACGGCUAACUACGUGCCAGCAGCCGCAGUAA